CAGAGAUCAUGCCCUCACGGGUAGACCUCCCACCCUGUUUAUAUACUAUUGUUGCUUUGGCAGGCCGCCUUUUAGGCUCCCGGCUCCGGCUGGGGAGUGUCUGCCAGAGGACCCCAACUCUUUUGUUUAAAUGUCGUCUGAGUACUAUAUAAUAAGUUA
rnacentral:misc_RNA from 1 species